rnacentral:rRNA from 1 species
CAGCAGCCGCGGGAAUACGUAGGGUGCAAGCGUUAAUCGGAAUUACUGGGCGUAAGGCGUGCGCAGGCGGUUUGUUAAGACAGAUGUGAAAUCCCCGGGCUCAACCUGGGAACUGCAUUUGUGACUGGCAAGCUAGAGUCUGGCAGAGGGGGGUGGAAUUCCGCGUGUAGCAGUGAAAUGCGUAGAUAUGCGGAGGAACACCGAUGGCGAAGGCAGCCCCCUGGGCCAACACUGACGCUCAUGCACGAAAGCGGGGGGAGCAAACAGGAUUAGAUACCCCGGUAGUCCCUGUCUCUUAUAC